CCUGCUUGUGUUCCCUCUCUCUCUGUGUCUCUCUUUCUGUCAAAUAAAUAAAUAAAAUCUUAAAAAAUAAACAAAGCACUUUCCCAGAUUUUCCUCCCAAAGGGUGGUGGUUUCAUUCACUGAAAUCGAGACUACAGAGGGUGACACGGGACUCAGCACUGGGGAAGACUAGACAGAGCUUCUACCCUCAGGUAACUCCCAGCUUAGCUAGGGAGUCAUUAAGCAGCAGCUACAGUGCAAUGUUUCUGGUGCCCUGGGAGAGGCUUGGAGAGAGCCCUGAAGGGGCACGGGAGGGCAGCUCUGAAUCAGAUGGAGUGGGACGGGGCAAGAGGAGGCAGAGGGUGAUAGGAGACCUGAGAGAAGAGCGCUAUGGUCCAGGUGCACAAAAGGGAGGGAAGGUGUCCAGGCAGAAGGAUCAGCAUAGCUGAAGACUCCUAUGACAUGGUCAUGAGCAUCUUGAUUUGCCUUGGGUUGCCCUGGGAGUUCCAUACAUCAUGGGAGGUGGCAAGUGGGGGAGAGUCUGAGUUGAUUGCCUACAUUUUCCUUCCAUUUUUUCCUCGUUUUUCAUACAAGCAUAUCCUGACUCCGUACUAGAUUUUAAGCUAUGUGAAGGUCCCGAUAUUGUAUAUUGUUGUUGCUAGCAUUGGCCUUAAGACAGAGGCUGAGUUAAUGUUUAUUGGUGAUGGAUUUGUGUUAUUACUGUUAUUGGUGUGUUUCUUCUCUCACUGUGAUUGUUUAAUACAGGACGCUCAAGUCGCACAAUCCUGGUCCUGGGGAGCUGCAGAUGUGUCACACCGUUUGCCAAGCAGUGGGUUUCUCCUUAGUAAGAUUCAGUGACACUGAAACAACUCCAUGAAGAAACUCUGGAUCUAGUUUAUUGUAUACCGUCUCCUCCUUUCUUCUGGGGCUGCUACUGAUGUGGCUUGGCCAGCAGCAGGCCAUGUGCACUCCUGAUUCUAACCUGCUCGCGAGGGGUCCGAAUUCACCAUCCCUCUUCUGAAAAUGGCUGCUUCUAAAGUAGGAGCACCUCAGGUGCUCGAUAAAGAAACUUGGUUACUACCGCAGUUGUACAAAGAUGAUGUAACAUUCUCCAGGUCAAUCAGGAAGACUUGGAAAGGAAUCAUUGAACUGAGGACCCUUUCUGGAGUGCUCUCUCUGCACUGGGUGCUGAUGGGUACUAUCUUCUCCUUCCAGUUGGCAAUCAGAGGGGGACAGAAAUUGGGAGUUUUAGUUUAGCAGGGGAAGACAUUUACACCUUUCCCUGAGUAUAUUAAGAGAUAGAACACCUUUGUGAACAUUUUUGGAGUCUAAAAAAUUUCCUGACUCUUGGUGUUUUCAGUAAACGCAGAAGAAAUCAACAGCUGAUGCCUACAUUUUACCGCAGGCAGAAACAUCCCUCAUAAACAAACGGGGGUGCGCGGCAGCCCUAGAUGUAUCACUAGCCCGAGGCUAAAAGGCUCCCUGUGUAUCAGAUGAAACAGAGGCAAUCUGGGUGACAGCACUGGCGAGGGGCGAGCUGGCCUUGCCCCCGUGCUCUGGGUCCUUGAGCACAGAGGGAGAAAAAGGAAUGAAUCAAACAGCUCGCCAGCGGAGUUUCAAGAGAGGCUCGGAUACCUUUUAAUAGAGGAAAACCGUAAGAUGUAAGCACACGGAAAGAAAGAAGAGCUAGGGAAGAGCGACAGCGGGGUGCGUUUUCAACAGCUCUUGAGCUGGUGUAAAAACUCUAAGUAUUUGUGUAGCUGCCUCUCUUGCAGUGUAGGCUUUUCAGGGACUCCAAAGACGUCAUGGAUGUGGGGACCGAUCGGCAGAUGCAGCUGGCGUGGAAAACCGCUUCCCCCCAACCUCCCUCUCAGAAGCCCUGAGCCCACCAUGCCUGCCACGCCCAGGCCGCACACCCUGAUGCCCAGGCAAGUGUCCUCCACCGCUCUCCUCUCUCCAGAUCUUUCAAGCGCCUUCUUUACCAAGUUUCUCCAUCCGAAGCUCUCACAAGCCAGUUUCCGUGUUGCUGCCUUGCGAGUCGUUUUUUAACAUUGGGCAGGUUUCACUGCUGAAAUAAUCAUGCAUCUCCCUGAACCAAGGUGCUGGACCCAAGAGUGGGAUCUCGUAUCUGUUUGUAGGGUGAAGAGCCCAUUUACAUCGAUCGAGAUCGAGCCGCAUGGUGUGAGCUGACAUAGAAGACGCCCCUUGGGAAUGACCAGUUUUUCACUUUGUUUCUUUAGCGGCGAUCAAAGCUUGUUAGUGCAAAUGCACAAGUCAACGUUUCUUA